UCUACCGGGAUGCAUGGCAAACAGUGCUUGCUGUUUGCCCUGGCCUUCUGCCUGCACAGCCGUCCCUGCAGGAUGGAGACCCAUGGGAGCACACAUCUCCUCCAUGCAUUGUUCUCACGUUAAGGCAGCCUGGGGGCUGGUUUUGAGGGCUGAUACAGCAGACAAGCAGGCCCUGCAGCUUGGUGAUGGUGGCAGAGGCUUCAGCCACGUGGCCCAGAGAUUUUGUGCCAUUGCAGUCAGACUUCCCAUUGUGCUCCUUCCUUGAUCAGCUGCUGCUGUGUGACUCAAUAUUUGCACUGACUGUACGUCCCAUCUUAUCAGAGCCUUCUGCUCCUUUGCCCCUCCGUUUCCUUCUUCCUGCCCACCAUGACUCAUCUCUUCCCAUCUUACAGAGCCAGGCAGGGAGCACCCAAUGCCACCAGUCCCAAUGCCCAUCCCCAUGAGCCUGCCCCACGUGCACAGAGCCAGCACCUGGACAAAUAAAUCCUGCUCCUCUAGGAAAGGAAUGGGGACAUUGAGGGGUGAGGGGGAUCAAUGGGAGGUGCUGGGGGGGUCACAGGAGCCGCUUGGCCUCCUCUGAGGGCAGCUGGGGCGCAUUGGGGACCCUCUUGCCUCGUGGCCUUGGCAGAGCUGCUGAGAUGGCCUUUGCUUGAUGGUGGCUUCCAGCAGCAGAGGUGUCCCCAGGCCCUAACACCUGGCAUCUCCAGGCUUUAUUUUCUUUCUGACCUUGGUUCCGUUUGCAUUUUUUUCCUUUCCCCCUCAGCAUUCUGUGUGUCAUGCUGGAUCCCAGCUGGAUGGAUCUAGAUUUUCUGACCUUCCCAUCUCCUGGAGCAAGAGAGCGGUUGAGGCAGGCAGUAAUGCAGGCGUGGCAUUCAUGUGCAUCUACAUGUUGUAUGUGGGGAGAUUCUCCAUUCAUCUCAAACCCACUUUGAUCAGAGACCUGCUGGCAGGAGCACGCUGGCAUGGAUUCCUUUACAAAUCUCACUUUUGUGGAAAGAAACUCCUUGGCUUGAGCUUUUCCCUUCCUAACAGCAAACACCACUGGGGCCCAUGCGGCUGCACUGCUGUGCAACUCUUGAAUGUUUCCGUGUGCAGAGCUCCUAUAAACACAUCCUGCAGACUUGACUCCCUCCCAUCCCAGCCCCAAAGCCAUCCGAGCCGAGUCAGAAGCUUCCAAACAAAACUCCAUCAAAACCUCCGAGAUUUCUCUGGUCUGUGUUUUGUGCAGGACUCUGAUGGGAAAAUAUUGAUUCUGGGCUUUAAAGCAGCUGCUUUGUAUAUUGACUGAUUUAACGGCACCAAAGUUUGGCCUGAGCUCUCUUUGUCUGAUUCCUUUUCUAACUUUUUAAUGCAACCCCAAAAGCGCGGUGGGUAUUGACAUAAGGAAGAGCCAAAUAAAACAAUGAUGCAGCAGAAAUCCUAUGGUCGGCCAAUGCUGGUUAGCUCAGCCGCAUGCAGCUCAGAGCGGCACUUCUUUUUCCCCCAUAACUUCCAGAUUGCAUUCAAAACAGAAUGUUUUUAAAGGCUAUUUCAGGAGAAUUUUAAGCAUUUGUAUAGAAAAAGAGAAAAUUCAGGCUGAGCUGUUUCCUGAUUGACAAAAAAGAAACCAACAAAAACCAACACCUGAGGGUUAAACCCAUUGCAAAUUGGGCUGUGCCUUCAUAGCAUGAUUCUUAGGGGGCUGCAGCUCCUGCUCCAGCUUUGUUUUCUCCCAGCAUCCAUGCACAAGGCAUGUCCCCGUCUCUUUUAUCUCCUAGGAGCCAGGGGCUGGAUGCUGU
ensembl:lncRNA